GACGAACGCUGGCGGCGUGCUUAACACAUGCAAGUCGAGCGAUGAAGCUUCUUCGGAAGUGGAUUAGCGGCGGACGGGUGAGUAACACGUGGGCAACCUGCCUUGUAGAGGGGGAUAGCCUUCCGAAAGGAAGAUUAAUACCGCAUAACAUAGCGAACUCACAUGGGUUUGCUAUCAAAGAUUUAUCGCCACAAGAUGGGCCCUCGUCGCAUUAGCUAGUUGGUGAGGUAACGGCUCAACAAGGCCACGAUGCGUAGCCGACCUAAGAGGGUGAUCGGCCACAUUGGAACUAAGACACGGUCCAGACUCCUACGGGAGGCAGCAGUGGGGAAUAUUGCACAAUGGGCGAAAGCCUGAUGCAGCAACGCCGCGUGAGUGAUGAAGGUCUUCGGAUUGUAAAGCUCUUUGAUUAGGGACGAUAAUGACGGUACCUAAAGAACAAGCCACGGCUAACUACGUGCCAGCCGCCGCCGUAA
rnacentral:rRNA from 1 species